rnacentral:rRNA from 1 species
GGUUAAGCGACUAAGCGUACACGGUGGAUGCCCUGGCAGUCAGAGGCGAUGAAGGACGUGCUAAUCUGCGAUAAGCGCCGGUAAGGUGAUAUGAACCGUUAUAACCGGCGAUUUCCGAAUGGGGAAACCCAGUGUGACUCGUCACACUAUCAUUAACUGAAUCCAUAGGUUAAUGAGGCGAACCGGGGGAACUGAAACAUCUAAGUACCCCGAGGAAAAGAAAUCAACCGAGAUUCCCCCAGUAGCGGCGAGCGAACGGGGAGGAGCCCAGAGCCUGAAUCAGCAUGUGUGUUAGUGGAAGCGUCUGGAAAGGCGCGCGAUACAGGGUGACAGCCCCGUACACAAAAGCGCAUGUGCUGUGAGCUCGAUGAGUAGGGCGGGACACGUGGUAUCCUGUCUGAAUAUGGGGGGACCAUCCUCCAAGGCUAAAUACUCCUGACUGACCGAUAGUGAACCAGUACCGUGAGGGAAAGGCGAAAAGAACCCCGGCGAGGGGAGUGAAAAAGAACCUGAAACCGUGUACGUACAAGCAGUGGGAGCACAGGUUUACCUGUGUGACUGCGUACCUUUUGUAUAAUGGGUCAGCGACUUAUAUUCUGUAGCAAGGUUAACCGAAUAGGGGAGCCGGAGGGAAACCGAGUCUUAAUUGGGCGUUAAGUUGCAGGGUAUAGACCCGAAACCCGGUGAUCUAGCCAUGGGCAGGUUGAAGGUUGGGUAACACUAACUGGAGGACCGAACCGACUAAUGUUGAAAAAUUAGCGGAUGACCUGUGGCUGGGGGUGAAAGGCCAAUCAAACCGGGAGAUAGCUGGUUCUCCCCGAAAGCUAUUUAGGUAGCGCCUCGUGAAUUCAUCUCCGGGGGUAGAGCACUGUUUCGGCUAGGGGGCCAUCCCGGCUUACCAACCCGAUGCAAACUGCGAAUACCGGAGAAUGUUAUCACGGGAGACACACGGCGGGUGCUAACGUCCGUCGUGAAGAGGGAAACAACCCAGACCGCCAGCUAAGGUCCCAAAGUCAUGGUUAAGUGGGAAACGAUGUGGGAAGGCCCAGACAGCCAGGAUGUUGGCUUAGAAGCAGCCAUCAUUUAAAGAAAGCGUAAUAGCUCACUGGUCGAGUCGGCCUGCGCGGAAGAUGUAACGGGGCUAAACCAUGCACCGAAGCUGCGGCAGCGACACUGUGUGUUGUUGGGUAGGGGAGCGUUCUGUAAGCCUGCGAAGGUGGCCUGUGAGGGUUGCUGGAGGUAUCAGAAGUGCGAAUGCUGACAUAAGUAACGAUAAAGCGGGUGAAAAGCCCGCUCGCCGGAAGACCAAGGGUUCCUGUCCAACGUUAAUCGGGGCAGGGUGAGUCGACCCCUAAGGCGAGGCCGAAAGGCGUAGUCGAUGGGAAACGGGUUAAUAUUCCCGUACUUGGUGUUACUGCGAAGGGGGGACGGAGAAGGCUAUGUUGGCCGGGCGACGGUUGUCCCGGUUUAAGCGUGUAGGUGUGUGUUCCAGGUAAAUCCGGUUCACUUUAACACUGAGGCGUGACGACGAGGCACUACGGUGCUGAAGCAACAAAUGCCCUGCUUCCAGGAAAAGCCUCUAAGCAUCAGGUAACAUCAAAUCGUACCCCAAACCGACACAGGUGGUCAGGUAGAGAAUACCAAGGCGCUUGAGAGAACUCGGGUGAAGGAACUAGGCAAAAUGGUGCCGUAACUUCGGGAGAAGGCACGCUGACACGUAGGUGAAGUGAUUUACUCAUGGAGCUGAAGUCAGUCGAAGAUACCAGCUGGCUGCAACUGUUUAUUAAAAACACAGCACUGUGCAAACACGAAAGUGGACGUAUACGGUGUGACGCCUGCCCGGUGCCGGAAGGUUAAUUGAUGGGGUCAGCGCAAGCGAAGCUCCUGAUCGAAGCCCCGGUAAACGGCGGCCGUAACUAUAACGGUCCUAAGGUAGCGAAAUUCCUUGUCGGGUAAGUUCCGACCUGCACGAAUGGCGUAAUGAUGGCCAGGCUGUCUCCACCCGAGACUCAGUGAAAUUGAACUCGCUGUGAAGAUGCAGUGUACCCGCGGCAAGACGGAAAGACCCCGUGAACCUUUACUAUAGCUUGACACUGAACAUUGAGCCUUGAUGUGUAGGAUAGGUGGGAGGCUUUGAAGUGUGGACGCCAGUCUGCAUGGAGCCGACCUUGAAAUACCACCCUUUAAUGUUUGAUGUUCUAACGUGGACCCGUAAUCCGGGUUGCGGACAGUGUCUGGUGGGUAGUUUGACUGGGGCGGUCUCCUCCUAAAGAGUAACGGAGGAGCACGAAGGUUGGCUAAUCCUGGUCGGACAUCAGGAGGUUAGUGCAAUGGCAUAAGCCAGCUUGACUGCGAGCGUGACGGCGCGAGCAGGUGCGAAAGCAGGUCAUAGUGAUCCGGUGGUUCUGAAUGGAAGGGCCAUCGCUCAACGGAUAAAAGGUACUCCGGGGAUAACAGGCUGAUACCGCCCAAGAGUUCAUAUCGACGGCGGUGUUUGGCACCUCGAUGUCGGCUCAUCACAUCCUGGGGCUGAAGUAGGUCCCAAGGGUAUGGCUGUUCGCCAUUUAAAGUGGUACGCGAGCUGGGUUUAGAACGUCGUGAGACAGUUCGGUCCCUAUCUGCCGUGGGCGCUGGAGAACUGAGGGGGGCUGCUCCUAGUACGAGAGGACCGGAGUGGACGCAUCACUGGUGUUCGGGUUGUCAUGCCAAUGGCACUGCCCGGUAGCUAAAUGCGGAAGAGAUAAGUGCUGAAAGCAUCUAAGCACGAAACUUGCCCCGAGAUGAGUUCUCCCUGAGACUUAGAGUCUCCUGAAGGAACGUUGAAGACGACGACGUUGAUAGGCCGGGUGUGUAAGCGCAGCGAUGCGUUGAGCUAACCGGUACUAAUGAACCGUGAGGCUUAACCUU